rnacentral:lncRNA from 1 species
ACCAUUCAUUUUACAUUAUUUCACUACCCGAGAAACCAAAAAUCAGGAAGCCACACUCUUCUUCUCUCACGCCAACAACCUCCCACCAUGGCUAUGUCCAAAAAUUCAUCCUUUCCAUAAAUUGAAGCUUUGCCUGUAUCCGAUUCUCUCUUUCUCUACUAAAUCAUGAACCAAGCCAAACCAAUCUUAUGUUCUCUUUUCCUUGUAACCCUCCAUGGAUAAGAAAAUGCAUCUUUCAUGACAAAGUCUUGUAUUCUCAUAUUGGAGAUGGGUUGGACGAAAUUCAGAUAAAUUGGAGCCUAGAGAUGUGGAAAAAUCAAGGGUUAAGUCUUGUGUGAGUAAGAAUUAAGGUAUGGUUAAUGGUUUAUACUCUCCUCUUCUUUGUCUAAGAUUCAUUUCAAAAAUCCAAUCCUUAUAUCUACUCUUUUUCUGGUGCUGCAUGUUGUCUAAAAUGCUCAUGGGGGACUUGAGAUGUUGCCAAAAACAUAGAACAGAGGUCAUGCAGAUUUAAUUCUGCUGCUGCAUACAUUUUAUCUCUCUCUGCGAUCAUCUCGUGUAACUCAAGGUAAGCAGUUCAGGCCUAAAUCAUUACCCAUUGAUCAAUACUUUCCUAUUUCCCUGAAAAAGGUUUAUGAAUUCAUUUAUUCCCUUUGGUGCUUACAUGUGAGUAUUGAUGGUUGGAGAAAUAAGAAUUUGGAAAGGUUAAAGAAACACUGCUUGGGUUUUUGGAGAAUAUGAUUGUCAUCACUUGGUUUGGAAUGGCAGCAUCAAAGAGGAAAUUAUGCAAAAGAGCUUAAAGCUUGGAAUCUUCAUUCUUAAGUUCAUCAUUAACCAUUUCAGGUGGGUUCCCUUAGAAGCUCAACCUUUAGAUAGCAUAGCACUAUUAGUUGCCCAGUUAAAUAUGCAUGAUAAUACUAGAUUAGAUAUUAUGUUAGUUCCCCAUAUAAUGAUUUGUAUGAUAACAUAAGGUUAAGAUAAACUAGUGUAUGAGAGGAGUCUAAUCCCAAGGCUUCCUCCAUUUUAAUCACGUAAUAUAUGUUGCAAUAUUUAUGGCUAGUAAGAGCAGGGAUUUGUCGUGAGAUUUUCUGUAAAAAUGAUGAAAAACUUGAAAGCAGAGUACUAAUCUGAUAAUCUUGCUAAGCGAGAGUUGCAGGUCAGCACUCUGCAUAAUUUUGGAAACAUGAUCAAUCUCACUCUUUUUGAAUUCUCAAUCUUCCUAGAUGUUUUCUGUGAAUAUUGCAAGUAUAAUAUGUAAUUAGAAUGUUAAUUGCACAUCAAGAUAUGAUAAUCAGGAAUUCAGGACAAGUAAUACCCCGGGAGGGAAUUCAUGGGCAGGACAACAAUCAGAAUUAUUAAGUUAAGUUAAGAAAGUCAAUCAAUUAUGGUGGUUACUUAUGUACCACGUUAUGGGAUUCGUUAGAAUCCAAUCAUGUUAUGAUUGUGAACUUCAGCCGUGUCGAUGUACAUUAUUAUCGCAGACGGACAUGUCAGGCCUCUGAGACCGGCUCACCUCAGAUUGUCUUUGUUAAGAAUAAAACGAACAAGAUAAAUAAUUUGUGUUACACCUUUAUGUAUUAUGUUAUGAAAUUAUGUUAUCUAAAUCAUGUUUAGAGAUUGACUAUCAGGAUCAGAGAACUAUUAGUUCGUCAGUUGCCCCGAUGUAGACACCAAUAGUAAUUGGGUAGUAGGAAUCCACUAAGACGAAGUGACUGUCUCAUCCCCCACUUAUUUGAUUUCAGAUAAACAGGUUGAUCAAGAUAUCAUGGUCUGCAAGCAUGAAGUUCAGAUACUUGGAUUAUGCUAGUUGAGCUGACGUCAUGUUAUCUUAUAUUUGUAUAAGAUUUAGUUUCUUUAUGUUUUCAGUUGUUAGCUCAAUUUAGUAUUAAUCUCUUGGAUUUUGUAAUCCUAUUUAUGUAUUCAGACAAUAUGUAAUGAAAAAUUAAUGUUUCCCGAUUCAGUUAUGUACACUCUUAUCGAUAUUCUAGAUAAAUCGAUGUGGGGUGUUAUAUCGACCUUAUGCUGUACGCUCGAUCUUGAGUCAUUAAUAGUGUAUUACUAUCAUUAUUUGGAAAAUCAUCC